CCUACGGGAGGCAGCAGUGAGGAAUAUUGGACAAUGGCCGUAAGGCUGAACCAGCGAAGCCGCGUGAAGGAAGAAGGAUCUAUGGUUUGUAAACUUCUUUUAUAGGGGAAUAAAGGUAUCCACGUGUGGAUAUUUGCAUGUACCCUAUGAAUCAGCAUCGGCUAACUCCGUGCCAGCAGCCGCGGUAAUACGGAGGAUGCGAGCGUUAGCCGGGUUUAUUGGGUUUACAGGGUGCGUAGGUUGGUGUGUAAGUCAGCGGGGAAAGGUUGUGGCUCAACCAUAAAAUUGCCGUUGAAACUGGAAGACUUGAGUGUGUGUGAGGGAGGCGGAAUGGGUGGUGUAGCAGUGACAUGCAGAGAUAUCA
rnacentral:rRNA from 1 species